rnacentral:tRNA from 1 species
GCGCUCUUAGUUUAGUGGCAAAACAAGGGUCUCCAAAACCUUUGAUGAGGGUUCGAUUCCUUCAGAGCGCG